AUAUUCCUGGGGUGUUCGAUAACUCCUGUCAUUUUGAACCUACAUCACUUUAAACGGGAUUCCUAUAUUGUUGAGUGGAUGUCAGGCCUCCGUUUGCAGUGGAAGGCAGAAGCUCAAUUGCGGUUACCCACCUAGCUUUGCUAGGAGUCAAAAUACAGGAGCCGGCAUUUCGGGGUAUU
rnacentral:other from 1 species